GAGAGAGGUGAGGGAAAGACUGCCUUCUAGAAAUUUGGUGUGAGCCAGACCCCCGCUAUCCUAGUGUCAUUUGCACACCAGGGCUGGAAGGAGGAGCAGGUGUGGGUGGGGUGGUCAAGAGCUCGUUCCAGGUGGCUCUGAGCAUCCCAGGAGAAAGGGGGAGGCAGACUCAGGUACUGGGUCCUGGAACUCGGGGAACGGUCUGGACAGACAUGCGAGGACUUGUGUAUCCUGCAGAGGGCUUAGCUUUUGCGCUGGAGGCUGUGGAGACAGUGUCACAAGUGGGAAUGGCAGGAUCUGAUCUGGGAUUUAAAAGCCUCCCUCUGGCAGCCAAAAGCCUGUUGUAGACUUGUCUCUGUAAUCUGGGCUAUGGGGAUUGAGGGGGAGGUCGGGGAGGUCUAGGAGAAGGCAGAGGUAGGCUUAAGCCAUGGGCUGCAGAGGGGCACCGCUGUCCGCUGCCUCGCUGGGGAGACUGUGCUACUGUCGGCUGGGAUGAGCCUACAGGAGCCCUCAGUUCUUGUGCCAAGGCCAGGAAGUGCUAGACUGGACGAGGGUUUUGGUUUAUACUUGUCAUUCAGGAGCCAAUGCCAAAUCCUACCUAAAAUCCAAACCAUCCUACCUAAAAAACCAAACAAGAACAAAUGAUCUAGUGCUUCCUGACUUUUGGUGACAGAGAUCCCCACGUGGCAGCUGCACAGUCAGUGUCACCAGCUGUGCUCAAGAGCUGGGCACCUUCAGAGUUGUAAAACCAGAGCCAACAUGCCCGGGCUCCAGCCCACCACCUUCUUCCCACAGCGGGUAUUGACACAGUGAGACUGAGCUUGGACACGGGUGGGAUCGUGCAGAGUUGCCAGGUAGCCAGACCCACCCUGUGAUUCUUCAGCUGCGCCGCUUGCCCAAGGCACCACGUGAGGCCACCAGUUUCACUCAGUUCAGGUCUGCCCAGGGUGGUGGCCAGACUGGAGACUCCUCCCACGGCAGAAAGGCAUUCCCACCUGGCUGGAAACUGCCAUGGUGGUGGCAGUCCUGUGCCUCUGAGUGGCCAUUGACCCUUGGAGAGCCUGAUGAAAGCUAUGGACCCUCUUCCAAAAAAAAUGCACAUCCACAGCUGGGCACGGUGGCUCACGCUUAUAAUCCCAGCAUUUUGGGAGGCCAAGGCAGGUGGAUCACCUGAGGUCAGGAGUUCGAGAUCAGCCUGGCCAACAUGGUGAAACCCCAUCUCUACUAAAAAU
rnacentral:lncRNA from 1 species